GAAACAUCUAAGUACCCCGAGGAAAAGAAAUCAACCGAGAUUCCCCCAGUAGCGGCGAGCGAACGGGGAGGAGCCCAGAGCCUGAAUCAGCAUGUGUGUUAGUGGAAGCGUCUGGAAAGGCGCGCGAUACAGGGUGACAGCCCCGUACACAAAAGCGCAUGUGCUGUGAGCUCGAUGAGUAGGGCGGGACACGUGGUAUCCUGUCUGAAUAUGGGGGGACCAUCCUCCAAGGCUAAAUACUCCUGACUGACCGAUAGUGAACCAGUACCGUGAGGGAAAGGCGAAAAGAACCCCGGCGAGGGGAGUGAAAAAGAACCUGAAACCGUGUACGUACAAGCAGUGGGAGCACAGGUUUACCUGUGUGACUGCGUACCUUUUGUAUAAUGGGUCAGCGACUUAUAUUCUGUAGCAAGGUUAACCGAAUAGGGGAGCCGGAGGGAAACCGAGUCUUAAUUGGGCGUUAAGUUGCAGGGUAUAGACCCGAAACCCGGUGAUCUAGCCAUGGGCAGGUUGAAGGUUGGGUAACACUAACUGGAGGACCGAACCGACUAAUGUUGAAAAAUUAGCGGAUGACCUGUGGCUGGGGGUGAAAGGCCAAUCAAACCGGGAGAUAGCUGGUUCUCCCCGAAAGCUAUUUAGGUAGCGCCUCGUGAAUUCAUCUCCGGGGGUAGAGCACUGUUUCGGCUAGGGGGCCAUCCCGGCUUACCAACCCGAUGCAAACUGCGAAUACCGGAGAAUGUUAUCACGGGAGACACACGGCGGGUGCUAACGUCCGUCGUGAAGAGGGAAACAACCCAGACCGCCAGCUAAGGUCCCAAAGUCAUGGUUAAGUGGGAAACGAUGUGGGAAGGCCCAGACAGCCAGGAUGUUGGCUUAGAAGCAGCCAUCAUUUAAAGAAAGCGUAAUAGCUCACUGGUCGAGUCGGCCUGCGCGGAAGAUGUAACGGGGCUAAACCAUGCACCGAAGCUGCGGCAGCGACGCUUAUGCGU
rnacentral:rRNA from 1 species